rnacentral:rRNA from 1 species
UACAGGGGGUGCAAACGUUGCUCGGAAUUAUUGGGCGUAAAGCGCACGCAGGCGGUUCGUUAUGUCUGCUGUGAAAGCCCUUGGCUUAACCGAGGAAGUGCAUCCGAAACUGGCGAGCUAGAGUACUAAAGAGGAUCGCGGAAUUCCCGGUGUAGAGGUGAAAUUCGUAGAUAUCGGGAGGAACACCGGUGGCGAAGGCGGCGAUCUGGGUAGAUACUGACGCUGAGGUGCGAAAGCGUGGGGAGCAAACAGG